GGGGAAUUUUGGACAAUGGGCGCAAGCCUGAUCCAGCAAUGCCGCGUGCAGGAUGAAGGCCUUCGGGUUGUAAACUGCUUUUGUACAGAACGAAAAGCUCUUCUCUAAUACAGAGGGGUCAUGACGGUACUGUAAGAAUAAGCACCGGCUAACUACGUGCCAGCAGCCGCGGUAAUACGUAGGGUGCGAGCGUUAAUCGGAAUUACUGGGCGUAAAGCGUGCGCAGGCGGUUUUGUAAGACAGAGGUGAAAUCCCCGGGCUCAACCUGGGAACUGCCUUUGUGACUGAAAGGCUAGAGUACGGCAGAGGGGGAUGGAAUUCCGCGUGUAGCAGUGAAAUGCGUAGAUAUGCGGAGGAACACCGAUGGCGAAGGCAGUCCCCUGGGCCUGUACUGACGCUCAUGCACGAAAGCGUGGGGAGCAAAC
rnacentral:rRNA from 1 species